rnacentral:rRNA from 1 species
CCUACGGGCGGCAGCAGUAGGGAAUAUUGCUCAAUGGGGGAAACCCUGAAGCAGCAACGCCGCGUGAGGGAUGAAGGUUUUCGGAUUGUAAACUCCUUUUGUUAGAGAAGAUAAUGACGGUAUGUAACGAAUAACCACCGGCUAACGCCGGGCCAGGGGCCGCGGUAAUACGGCAGGUGCAAGGGUUACUCGGAAGCACUGGGCGUAAAGAGCGCGUAGGCGGGUUAGCAAGUCAGAUGUGAAAUCCGAUGGAUUAAACAUAGAACUGCAUUUGAAACUGGUAUUCUAGAGUAUGGGAGAGGUAGGUGGAAUGCUUGGUGUAGGGGUAAAAUGCGUAGAUAUAAAGAGGAACACUAAUGGCGAAGGCGACGUGCUAGAACAUAACUGACGCUGAUGCGCGAAAGCGUGGGUAGCAAACAGGAUUAGAUACCCUUGUAGUC